UUAAGUUCAGCGGGUAGCCCUACCUGAUUUCAGAUCAAAGUUGUAUUAGAGUUUUCUGUAUAUCAAGACUGCAUGGACCAAAGUAAAGGUAGCCAAAGAUUUGACAAACAAGUGCCAAAACUAUUAGGCCAAACUACUGUAGCAGUCCACAGUCAAGAGCUACAUUUUAGGAGGGCCAAUCAGUAACAAUUGGCGCAUCC
rnacentral:misc_RNA from 1 species